CAAAGACCUAUCACCCAUUUAAAAUAUUCUCCCCACGGGCCAUUAGGGCACCGGUGCCCUCUUUUUUUUUUUUUGGUUCGACACUUCGACCUCUCCGGCCUAGUCCACCUCAUCCCCCACCCUCGAGCCCGCCACCUCCGACCCCUCCGACGGUGCCGACGACCCCUCCUGCCUCCCUGACCACCUCUUCCGCCCCCGCAAGCCGGUCCCCUCCCUCCCCUCCCGCCGAUUCAUCGCCGAGCCGGUUGCCGCCGGCCGCUCCCAUAGUCCCAUGGCAGCGCCGCAUCCUCCUCUGCGAGCUUCUCUACGGCCGGAUCCGAAGACUGAGAGGGUUUUGCUCUCUCUCGCAUCUCGGUGGAGGGCAUGAUGAGCAACGACAAGCAAGAAGACAGCCUCAAUCUAUCCGAUCUCGGUUCCGCUCUCCCCACUACCACUCCCUAUUUCCUUUCCCCUCCGCUAUUUCCCUCGGAUCUCUCUUUUUUUAUUUCUUUUAAUUUUUUGAUCUCUGUUCCUCUUCCUGGUGUUUGUUGAUGCGUAAAUCUGAGUGCAGAGGACCAGGCCGGCCUUGUUAAUGCUCUGAAGGUUUUUUUGUUCUUGCUUCUGUUCUAUCUCGCGGCCCUCCCCUCCGUCGCCAGCGCAACUACAAGGACAUCCUCAUGAACUUCGUGGUCGCCAUGGCCAUGGCUGCGGAGGGCAGGGUGGGGCCCGUCACCGUGCUGGUGGAGGGCAGGAGGGUCAGAGACUGUGGCGACCCUUGGAACAACGGAAGCAGCAGCAGCAGCAGCAGCGACGACCGUGAUGGUGAUGCAGUGAAAGAGCAAGAGAGGGAAAGAGAGAUCACACGGGUGGGAUUGAGCGCCAGAGGAGAUCACAGAAAGAGGACCGGGUCGGUCUGAAGGGUGGAAGCUUUGGCCGUUUGCUCGCCUGAUUACUUAUGGUGUUAUACCAGUAGAACAAAGACUUUUUUGGGUGGACCGCGUGGAGCUGGUGUGAGUGGCCAUAUUAUCCACGAUUGAUGUUUCUUCAUACAAAACAUGGAGAAGCUGCUUCUGAAACAUCAUGGUGGCAUCCCCCGGUGGUUUCCCAUUGCAACAUCAUGGAAGAUGUCUUCAAUGAAAGGGAGAAAAUUUUCAAAAUGGAAGAAACAACCUGUGGUGGUCACCAUCUUCCACUUCCACUUUACCUUGAGGCCCUGCCGGCAAUCUUCCAAGGGAAGCGUGAAGAUAUUCUUAAGCAUAAGAGAGAAGAUGGGUCCUUGUUCCAUUCUCCAUUUGCAACUGCUGGUGCCUUCAUGAUCACCGGAGAUAGAGAUUGCAAGGACUAUUUGGAAGCCAUGGUCCAAAGAUGCGGGCAUGGAGGUGUGUUUUAAAGUAGCAAUAAAUCCGAAAGAUGGUAUAUACUUUGUCUCUACAUGGAAGAGGGUGACUGGUUCAGUUUGGUAUGUGGCACAGUUCCUCCCGCGUACCCUGUAGGCCAAAACCUCAUAAAGCUGUAUUUGAUGGACCGUUUGAUGCGCCUAGGAUGUGGUUGCCUCACAUGUAAGUACCUCACCCCAGCGUCACCUCGGUAUCGGUAAAUCAGAUGGCAACUCCAGCGGAUAGACCGAGCGGGGGGCAUCCGGUCUCCACAUUUAAUCGACGCCCGUGCGUUUCGAACUUGGGCCACUCCGGUAGAAUUUUAGCCUCGUUCCAACCGUUCAUCGGGCAAAUAGAAGAUGUGAUGGAUCAUGUUUAUUGAACCUUCCGGUGGAUCUAGGCUUUGCUUCAUCCUUGCCCGAUCUAGGCUUUGCUCUAGGUAGGGUGAGGCUGGCUGGUUAUGGUAGAGGCGGCGGCCAGGUUUGAUUUUUUUUUUUUUUAGGAUAGGGGUGUACCAUUAGAUACUCUUCUAAGCUUUAUUGCAAAUGUCGUCAUCAUUUCGGGUAGCUGGGAAC